rnacentral:rRNA from 1 species
UGGGGAAUAUUGGACAAUGGGCGAAAGCCUGAUCCAGCCAUGCCGCGUGUGUGAAGAAGGUCUUCGGAUUGUAAAGCACUUUAAGUUGGGAGGAAGGGCAGUUACCUAAUACGUAAUUGUUUUGACGUUACCGACAGAAUAAGCACCGGCUAACUCUGUGCCAGCAGCCGCGGUAAUACAGAGGGUGCAAGCGUUAAUCGGAAUUACUGGGCGUAAAGCGCGCGUAGGUGGUUUGUUAAGUUGGAUGUGAAAUCCCCGGGCUCAACCUGGGAACUGCAUUCAAAACUGACUGACUAGAGUAUGGUAGAGGGUGGUGGAAUUUCCUGUGUAGCGGUGAAAUGCGUAGAUAUAGGAAGGAACACCAGUGGCGAAGGCGACCACCUGGACUAAUACUGACACUGAGGUGCGAAAGCGUGGGGAGCAAACAGG